ensembl:lncRNA LINC01727 long intergenic non-protein coding RNA 1727
GGGCUGGUGCUCUCGUUCAGAUAGAUUUAGCUGGUGGUGCAGAGAUCCGUGAGCUUGCUUUUACAGGACUUUAAUGAUAUAUAAAAGCAGCACGAGGUGCUCCUGACUGUGGAUUAAUUUGGAGAUGACUUUCUCUGUUGAAGAGUAGCAAGACUCUCGCGAGUUCUUAAAAAUGCACUUGUUUGGUAUGAGAAUGAAAAGCAGUGGCUGAAGAACCAAUCUUCAAUGGGCAAGCCUUCUCUGUGUCUGUUCUAACACGUGCCAUUUGGGAUCCCUUGGAAUCUUCAUGUACAGAACUGGUUGCUGCCUCGUUGAGUCGGUGGGGACAGAAUAGCUCCUGGUUGACAGCAUGGGUUGUGCAGAAGGACGGAUCCUGCAGACAUCAAUAUCUGGCUUUGAGUGGCACAAAGAAAUAAAGGAAUGUGGAUUCAGACCUCACUGGGAUGCUUGGCAAUUCUAAUUCUACCCCAGACUGCAAAUGGACACACAACUGUUGUGACUUUUGUUGAAGAGGAGAAGGAUGGGUGAGCAUGUGACGUUGGGAAAUUGUAUUUUCUUCUUCGAGUUCUUCUGUUUCCGAAUAUUUAAUCCUACUGUUUUCUUCUUUAGUGAAGGUCUCUUUAGUCAAUAAUCUCUUUGCUGAAAUUGCUUCGGGCAGCACAGAAGCUGGAUUCAGAAGCACACAGGUCUGGGGAUGCAGGCUUCGGCCAGCCUGAUGCAAGGAAAGACUGCCAUCUCGUGGUCAGCUCAAUCCUGGCACCUUGGUGAGGGACCAGGCUGCAGAAAACCAGGCUUGGGGAGGAAACGGUGCUGCAAACUGGAUUUCUGCCGGACAGUGUGGAUGCCCUUAGAAAACACCCAGAAAAGAGCUGAGUGCCCCCCAAGGUGCCUCGGAGUGGGAUUGCUGAGUCACACAGUAAGUGUAUGUUUCACUUUUUAAAAGCUGUCAAGCCUCUUCCAGAGCAGCCAAGCCAGUCUGCGUUUCCACCAGCAAUUUCUGAGAGUUCCAGUUGCUCUGCGUCCUUGCCAGUGCUUGGUAUUGCCAGGUUUUUUAUUUUUUAACCCAUUCUAAAAUAUGUUUAGUGCCCCCCAUUUUUUUUAUCUUUGUAAAUGUUAUAGGUGAAUUUUAAAAGUCAAUCUCAAUAUAUAUUGGCUGUUAAUAAUACUAUUAAUACCUAUUACUGUUAAUAAUGCUAAUAAGUAACUAUCAAAUCUCAUAGAUGAAAAAGAUGAUUUAUGAUCUUUAAAAUUUUGCAUUUUUAUUAUUAGGAAAGUCAGAAGGGCUCAAUUUUAAACAGAGAGAGAAGCGGAUAGAGAAGUGUGUUCUUGCCUGAAGGUGUCUUUCAUCUUGGGCUGCCUCUAUCUAUUUCUGGGAUCACUGGCGGCCCUUGUACUCCUAUCCUCAGCUCUUUCUGUAGGCUUUUUCAUUUCAUUGAGGACAUGGAUGGGAAAGAAUGUCCAGCCCAUUCUCUCUCCCUCUUUUGAUUAAAAGGAGGGGAGGCAGAAGUGGAAAGGGCAAAACCAAUUACAGGUUGUAGCGUACACUAUCCAAAGCAAUGUAUACAUUCAGUGAAAUCCCUAUCAAAACACCAAUGACAUUCUUUAGAGAAGCAGAAAAAAAUAAUCCUAAAAUAAUAUGUGGAACCACAAAAGACCAAAAUAGCCAAAGUUGUCCUGAGCGAAAAAACAAUCCUGGAGGAAUCACAUUACCUGACUUGAAAUUGUACUACAGGGCUAUAGUAACCAAAACAGCAUGGUACUGGUAUAAAAACAGACACAUAGACUAAUGGAACAGAAUAGAGAACCCAGAAAUAAAUCCAGACAUGGUCAGUGAACUCAUUUUCGACAAAGGUGCCAAGAACAUACACUGGGUAAAGAACAGUCUCUUCAAUAAAUGGUGCUGGGAAAACUGGCUAUCCAUGUGCAGAAGAAUGAGACUAGACCCCUGUCACUUUCUACCCACAAAAAUCAAACCAAAAUGGAUUAAAGACAAAU